rnacentral:rRNA from 1 species
GCACGAAAGGCGUAACGAUUUGGGCACUGUCUCAACGAGAGACUCGGUGAAAUUUUAGUACCUGUGAAGAUGCAGGUUACCCGCGACAGGACGGAAAGACCCCAUGGAGCUUUACUGUAGUUUGAUAUUGAGUGUUUGUACCACAUGUACAGGAUAGGUAGGAGCCGAUGAGACCGGAACGCUAGUUUCGGAGGAGGCGCUGGUGGGAUACUACCCUUGUGUUAUGAACCCUCUAACCCGCACCACUAAUCGUGGUGGGAGACAGUGUCAGAUGGGCAGUUUGACUGGGGCGGUCGCCUCCUAAAAGGUAACGGAGGCGCCCAAAGGUUCCCUCAGAAUGGUUGGAAAUCAUUCAUAGAGUGUAAAGGCAUAAGGGAGCUUGACUGCGAGACCUACAAGUCGAGCAGGGUCGAAAGACGGACUU